rnacentral:rRNA from 1 species
UCGAGGGGUAUAGUUCUUCGGAAUUAGAGACCGGCGCACGGGUGCGUAACGCGUAUGCAAUCUACCUUUCACAGAGGGAUAGCCCAGAGAAAUUUGGAUUAAUACCUCAUAGUAUUAUAUAGUGGCAUCACUUUAUAAUUAAAGUCACAACGGUGAAAGAUGAGCAUGCGUCCCAUUAGCUAGUUGGUAAGGUAACGGCUUACCAAGGCAACGAUGGGUAGGGGUCCUGAGAGGGAGAUCCCCCACACUGGUACUGAGACACGGACCAGACUCCUACGGGAGGCAGCAGUGAGGAAUAUUGGACAAUGGGCGCAAGCCUGAUCCAGCCAUGCCGCGUGCAGGAUGACGGUCCUAUGGAUUGUAAACUGCUUUUGCACAGGAAGAAACAACAUUACGUGUAAUGUCUUGACGGUACUGUGAGAAUAAGGAUCGGCUAACUCCGUGCCAGCAGCCGCGGUAAUACGGAGGAUCCAAGCGUUAUCCGGAAUCAUUGGGUUUAAAGGGUCCGUAGGCGGUUUAGUAAGUCAGUGGUGAAAGCCCAUCGCUCAACGGUGGAACGGCCAUUGAUACUGCUAAACUUGAAUUAUUAGGAAGUAACUAGAAUAUGUAGUGUAGCGGUGAAAUGCUUAGAGAUUACAUGGAAUACCAAUUGCGAAGGCAGGUUACUACUAAUGGAUUGACGCUGAUGGACGAAAGCGUGGGUAGCGAACAGGAUUAGAUACCCUGGUAGUCCACGCCGUAAACGAUGGAUACUAGCUGUUGGAAGCAAUUUCAGUGGCUAAGCGAAAGUGAUAAGUAUCCCACCUGGGGGAGUACGUUCGCAAGAAUGAAACUCAAAGGAAUUGACGGGGGCCCGCACAAGCGGUGGAGCAUGUGGUUUAAUUCGAUGAUACGCGAGGAACCUUACCAAGGCUUAAAUGUAGAUUGACCGGUUUGGAAACAGACUUUUCGCAAGACAAUUUACAAGGUGCUGCAUGGUUGUCGUCAGCUCGUGCCGUGAGGUGUCAGGUUAAGUCCUAUAACGAGCGCAACCCCUGUUGUUAGUUGCCAGCGAGUCAUGUCGGGAACUCUAACGAGACUGCCAGUGCAAACUGAAAAGAAAGUUGGGGAUGA